rnacentral:rRNA from 1 species
AACGAACGCUGGCGGCGUGCCUAACACAUGCAAGUCGUGCGAGAAAGUUCCUUCGGGAGCGAGUAAAGCGGCGCACGGGUGAGUAACACGUAGGUAACCUGCCCCCCAGUCUGGAACAACUAGAGGAAACUCUAGCUAAUGCCGGAUGAGACCACGAUCCCUUCGGGGUUGCGGCCAAAGAUGGCCUCUACUUGUAAGCUAUCGCUGAGGGAUGGGCCUGCGGGCCAUUAGCUUGUUGGUGAGGUAACGGCUCACCAAGGCUGUGAUGGCUAGCUGGUCUGAGAGGAUGACCAGCCACACUGGGACUGAGACACGGCCCAGACUCCUACGGGAGGCAGCAGUGGGGAAUAUUGCGCAAUGGGCGAAAGCCUGACGCAGCGACGCCGCGUGGGUGAUGAAGGCCUCGGUCGGUAAAGACCGUCGUCGCAGGGAAGG